rnacentral:rRNA from 1 species
UACAGAGGGUGCAAGCGUUAAUCGGAAUUACUGGGCGUAAAGCGUGCGUAGACGGUCAUGUAAGUCGGGUGUGAAAGCCCCGGGCUCAACCUGGGAAUUGCAUUCGAGACUGCAUGGCUAGGAUGCGGAAGAGGGAAGCGGAAUUUCCGGUGUAGCGGUGAAAUGCGUAGAUAUCGGAAGGAACACCAGUGGCGAAAGCGGCUUCCUGGUCCAGCAUCGACGUUCAGGCACGAAAGCAUGGGGAGCAAACAGG